CUCAGUUCGGAUUGGAGUCUGCAACCCGACUCCAUGAAGCUGGAUUCGCUAGUAAUCGCGCAUCAGCCAUGGCGCGGUGAAUACGUUCCCGGGCCUUGUACACACCGCCCGUCAAGCCAUGGAAGCCGGGAGUGCCUGAAGUGCGUGAGCGUAAGCAGCGCCCUAAGGUAAAACCGGUGACUGGGGCUAAGUCGUAACAAGGUACC
rnacentral:rRNA from 1 species